rnacentral:rRNA from 1 species
ACGUAGGAUGCGAGCGUUGUCCGGAAUUACUGGGCGUAAAGCGCGCGUAGGCGGUUCUUCUUGUGGGGUGUGAAAGCCCCUGGCUUACCCAGGGGAGUGCAGUCCAGACGGAGGGACUCGAGGGCGGUAGGGGCCGGUGGAAUGCCUGGAGUAGCGGUGAAAUGCGUUGAGAUCAGGCAGAACACCAGUGGCGAAGGCGGCCGGCUGGGCCGCACCUGACGCUGAGGCGCGAAAGCCAGGGGAGCGAACGGAAUUAGAUACUCCGGUAGUCCUGGCCCUAAACGAUGACGACUAGGUGUGGGGGGUAUCGACCCCUCCCGUGCCGUAGCACACGCGAUAAGUCGUCCGCCUGGGGAGUACGGCCGCAAGGCUA